rnacentral:misc_RNA from 1 species
AAGUCGUAACAAGGUAACCGUAGGUGAACCUGCGGUUGGAUCAUUAAUAAAUUUAUAAAGGUUAAAGAUUUUUACAGAUCUUUAACUCUUUAACAAAUUGUGAACUUUAUUAAAGUCUUUUGGGAUGGUAGUAAUAUUAUCCCAAAAACCCCUUUUAAACAACUUUAAUUUUAUCAAGUCUUUAACAACAUUUAAAUUUAAUUUAAAAAACAACUUUUAACAAUGGAUCUCUUGGCUCUC